AAUUCUUUACAAGUUUCACAGUGAUCGCGACGAUUAGUGUUUCCGUAGAUCUUGAUCCCUUUUGCAAGAUUAAUCGUUAAAUUCUUUACAGAAUAUAUUAAGAUAUAUUCUUGUCAUCGAAACUGGUUCGCGAAGGAUAAAAGAAAUUCUUUCAAUCGUUUAAGCCAUAAAUAGUUGAUCGCCUACUGACGACAUACUACUCGAAAAUUACAAUCGAUUCUCAUCGAGAUAGAUCGAGACAUCCACGAUUCCCGUUUCGUUCGAUCGAGAAUCAAAAUCGAUAUAGACCACCCUCCGGCUAUGAAAAGAUCGAACGGUUGCACGUAGUAACGGUAUGGAAUCGCAGUUUGUACGGUCAACACGCGCGUCGCGAGUUCCGACGAUUGUCGAUAAGAACUCUGGAGGCGACUGUCCGAUAACCCGUUCCAGUAGAGAUUGUGUGACCACAGAACCACUUGACAACUCGUUUCGACGUUUCCAACCAUAAGACUGUGAUAGUGAGCUCGAUGACGUAAUUAGCGGGGAAAAGAAUUACUAUCAAAAUGUCCAGACACAGGAGGUUCUUGCGGAGAUGGCGCAGUUUCUACAAUUUCAGGAAUAUCUUCUUCAUUUUCUUCUUCAAUAUCUUCAUCAAUUGGAGUCAAUGUAUCUAAUAUCACAGGCUGAGUCUGUAAUAAAUUUUGUUCUUUGUUAAUUUUAAAUAGUUUAAAAAUAA